AUGGGACCAGACUUGUGUCCGUCUCCAGGUGAAUGCUUCAUGAUUCCCAUUCAUAGUCAGGUAGCAACCUGUAUCUGAGCAGGGAAGCUAGAGCAUACCUCUGUGUUAUAGUGUUAUUUCCACAUCACUGAAAGGGGACAGGAAUAUAAAGCUGGUGAAGAAGCAGAGGAUGGGGAACAGGCUGUGGCUAUGGCAUGCUAAACUGAGGAGGGAGACUGGCAGCUGUGGGGAGAUUCUUAGGCUGCUGGUCUGAAUUCCUGAUGGCUUGGGUUUGACUUUCCGGCAGAGCUUUCGCCUCCUAGGUGGGGCCCUACUCCCACAGGAGGCAUGAGCCACAGCUGGGAGGCAAGUCCUGAUGCUGACUGGUUAGACAUGCCCUGAGGCACAGUCAAAAAAACACCAAAAGUGACGGGAGGAGCCCUUGGAUGAUGGAUGAAGACACACGUUGGAAGAGGCAUUCUUGCAAGCAAGCUAAGGAAGUAUAGUUUGGAUGGAAGGACUGUAAGGUAAGUAGAAAGCUGGAUGUAUUGUUGGGCUCAGUGGGUAGUGAUCAAUGGCUUUGUCACAACCCAAAGUUGUGAUUUCUUUU